ensembl:lncRNA
UUUUUUUUUUUUUUUUUGGCUGCAUGGUGCAGUGGCUUGAUGUGGGAUCUCAAUUCCCAGACUAGGGAUUGAACCCAGGCUGCAGUGGUGAAAGCACCAAGUCCUAGCCACUAGGCCACCAGGGAGCUCCCCUGAGGUGCUCAUUCAGCAGGGAGGGGGGGGGGCAGCUCAAGAGUGAUGCUGAGGCUGCAGGCCCUGGGGCAGGCGCUCCCCCACAGCACCUUGGCCUUCACCUGGUGCACCUGUCAUUCUGGCUCCCCCCAGCACUCUUGGCUGCACAGUCUCCUGGGCAUCCAGAAACCAGAAGCUUUUUGCAGAAAACACUUGGCGGGAGAAUCAGUGGUAAUGAAUCCACUGUGAACUCCAGCUCUAAAGACAGGACCUCAAGUCCCUGCAUCUGUCACCCAUCUGACAGUGUCGACCUGAGUGCAAAUGAAGGUAGGUUUCCUCCAGCAACAAAGGACUGAAGGAAAGGGUGACAUCCUUGGGAAUCAAGGUACAAGCCUGCAGCAGAGGAGCCAUGCACUGUGACAUUCCCAAGAGGACAAGCACAAAGUCACAAGUGGCCAUGCAGGAAUGGAGCAGCCCCGUCUUGGGACUUUCUGCUGGAUCCCAGGACUACCUUCCAAUGCUAUGGGGACAAGGAAAUGGCAGCAGAGAGAAGCCCUUUCAGUGUCACUGUCAUUCAGGGUCUCCCUGGAGUGGAAGGGGCCAACCCCGGCUUGCUCAUGUUCCAGAGACCUCCGCCUAUUCAGACAAGCGACGGGACCAGGGCCGCCUCCAGCUACAGUGACCAGCCAGCAAGCCCGCGGUGGCAGCUCCUGGAAGACUGGCCUGCAGUCUGGAAUCUCCUGGUUCUUCACAGUAACAAGCCUCAGCAGGGACAUUUACGGGAGCGUUCUUUGUUUGUUUUUUUGUCUUUUUUUAGGGCCACACCUGUGGCACAUGGAGGGUACGGCCCUAAAAAGACCAAAAAAAAGAAAACCACACCCUGGAAAUUCUUUGAAAGGAAUCUGUCUCAGCUGUCUCUGCAGACUUGACUGAGCACUGGGUACUUGGGUUAAUGGACUUGAAUUACCUUUUGGCAGGGGGAAGGGGUUCUUGGCUGGGCCCAGGGCAUGUGGAAGUUCCUGUGCGAGGGAUCCAACCCGAGCCACAACAGUCGCCUGAGCUGCUACAGUGGCAACGCCGAGUCCUUAACUUGCUACAUCAAAGGAGAACUCCAAAUUGCUUUUGUUUUUAAAAGGCAUAAACCACAACUAGACAAAACCCUCUACGGCCAAUAUUUUUCCCCUGGUCCCCUUCUUUCUAGCACUGCUGCCUCCUCUGUUCUCCUGGGUGAGACUGGGUAAGGGAGCCUGGCUCCCCCCGGGCAGGCACGUGCCCACCUCAGGCCAGGCCUACCCACUGCUCCAGACACCAAGUCUGGAGCCCAAUGACACCUCACGUAAAGCAGCCGGAAAAGAUUCACCCCAAGAAAGACGGUGACUGAAGAGAUGGUGACUAAUGCACGUUCUUUCCAAGACCUGAAUGAUCAGUUUCCCUCUUAUCUGCAACUUCACAGCCUUUCAACAACCUUACCUGACUCAAUUUAGUCAGAGCUGCCUUCUGCUGCCUGUAACCCUGUGGAUAUAUGACCCCAGGGACCAAGGACAACCACUCAGCCCCCCCACACAGCAGGAUAGGUAACUUUAAAGACAACUGGAGCCCUUCCGCCAAACCACUGUCUCCACUAUGUCACUUACUGAGGGACAUAGCACGAGGGGAAGGUGUCUGCCCAGCUCUGGGCCCUUUGGAGACAUGGAGAACUCCUCACAUUUAUGGCCAACAGAGAGGGCACUUCAGACAUCAAAGGCUGGUACUUUCAAGAACAGAAACAAGAAGGCACUGGAAGUGCACCUUGUAAAUUCUUGACCUGAUGGGCAUGACAGGCACUGAUCACCUCCCCACUCAUCCCAGGAGGCCAGUGGUACCCAGACCCAAAGCCAAACACAAAGAAGAAAACUACACAGUGAUUACAAACACAGGCUCAAAAAUCCUCAAAAU